rnacentral:rRNA from 1 species
GAGUUGUAAUUUGCAGAGGAUGUUAUGGAAUUUUGUAUGAACUCAAAUUCUUUGGAAAAAGAUGCUACGAAGAGUGAAAGCCUCGUACUGUUCAAUACAUUUUUCAUGUAUAACUCCUUCAAAGAGUCGAGUUGUUUGGGAAUGCAGCUCAAAGUGGGACGUAAAUUUGUUCCAAAGCUAAAUACUGGCUAGAGACCGAUAGCGCACAAGUAGAGUGAUCGAAAGAUGAAAAGCACUUUGAAAAGAGAGUUAAAAAGCACGUGAAAUUGUUGAAAGGGAAGCUUAUGUCAUCAGAAAUGACGUCAAUGUUCAGCCUUUGGUCAACUCAUUGAUUGUCAAGUUAGCAUCAAUUUGGGUAGUUGGAUAAAAAUGUCGGAAAUGUAGCUUCCCCGGAAGUAUUAUAGUCUGAUAUAGAAUGCAGCU